AAUGUCGUAGCUCAGCGGUUAGAGCCCAUCGAUAGUACGAUGGAGACGCGGUGUUCGAAUCCCGCCGACA
rnacentral:tRNA from 1 species